CGACCGGUUCGCAAAUGACAGAAUCAUAUUUUUUCUGGAUGAAUCCGAUGAGCUAUAAAGCUUUUUUUCGCAGAUGCCCACAGUCGGGACGGGUGCGAACGUUACAACAACAAACAGUUCAAAAAUACACGAUAUGAAAGAACACGGAACGACCACAGACGAUGCAAACGAGACACGGCGCAGGAGACGGACAACACCCGCGGUUUGCUACGUACGGCGCGAACGAAGUUCAACACAGGGUACACGAACCCACUGCUGGAUGAAGGCCUCCUCCUCACUCGGGAUGGUUUCGCGAGGGUCAUUCGACUUCGCCAAGCAGUGCGAGUUGGCGGGGGAGGCGUAGAAAGUGGCAGCAUA